UGGGGAAUUUUGGACAAUGGGCGCAAGCCUGAUCCAGCCAUGCCGCGUGAGUGAAGAAGGCCUUCGGGUUGUAAAGCUCUUUCGGUGGGGAAGAAAUUGCUUCGAUUAAUACUCGGAGUAGAUGACGGUACCCGCAUAAGAAGCACCGGCUAACUACGUGCCAGCAGCCGCGGUAAUACGUAGGGUGCGAGCGUUAAUCGGAAUUACUGGGCGUAAAGCGUGCGCAGGCGGUUGUGUAAGUCAGAUGUGAAAUCCCCGGGCUCAACCUGGGAACUGCAUUUGAGACUGCACGGGUAGAGUGUAGCAGAGGGGGGUAGAAUUCCACGUGUAGCAGUGAAAUGCGUAGAGAUGUGGAGGAAUACCGAUGGCGAAGGCAGCCCCCUGGGUUACUACUGACGCUCAUGCACGAAAGCGUGGGGAGAAAACA
rnacentral:rRNA from 1 species